rnacentral:rRNA from 1 species
CUACGGGCCGCACCAGUGGGGAAUCUUGGACAAUGGGCGCAAGCCUGAUCCAGCCAUGCCGCGUGAGUGAAGAAGGCCUUAGGGUCGUAAAGCUCUUUCGCCCGAGAUGAUAAUGACAGUAUCUGGUAAAGAAACCCCGGCUAACUCCGUGCCAGCAGCCGCGGUAAUACGGAGGGGGUUAGCGUUGUUCGGAAUUACUGGGCGUAAAGCGCGCGUAGGCGGAUUAGUCAGUCAGAGGUGAAAUCCCAGGGCUCAACCCUGGAACUGCCUUUGAUACUGCUAGUCUUGAGUUCGAGAGAGGUGAGUGGAAUUCCGAGUGUAGAGGUGAAAUUCGUAGAUAUUCGGAGGAACACCAGUGGCGAAGGCGGCUCACUGGCUCGAUACUGACGCUGAGGUGCGAAAGUGUGGGGAGCAAACAGGAUUAGAUACCCGCGUAGUC